GGUGGAUUGACUAAAUGGAAAACAUCCAAGUCCAGAAGAUGAGAAUUUUCUGAAAUCCACGCAAGGCAAAAUAUAAAUGGGAAUUAUUCAUUGGUGUUCAAAUCCGUGCUGCCUUUUCCACAUCUCAUUUCUGAAUUCCAAGGACAGUUUUCUGCAACAGAGACUUUGACAAAACUGACAGAAGGUGCUGCAGUCGGGAGGUACUACUGUAACAUUUUGAUGGCUUCUUUGCCCCUGAGUGACAGACAACAGUUUUUUCCAAGUGGGUCAAGCUAUCAUCUUCUGGCUAGUAACAGAGACAGGACACUGGGCUAGAUGGUCUCUUCUUCUGACUCAACGCGAGUAUUUCUUUCAUGCUGAUAUGCCUUACCAAGAGAUGGAUCAGCCCUAUCUGCAUCAUUCCUGAAACAUCUGGACUUGCUUCUGCGUGCUUGGGAGAAGUCUUUAGUGAGAAAGAAGCAGUGGGAGAUUCAGGAGAAAAGCAGGGAGCUAUUAGGCAAAAGAAAUCCUCUGAGGUCGGGGAAGGAAGUUUUUACCACUACAGAGGACUUUAUGGAGUGUGUUGCACCCUUGAAAACUGCUGGACAAGAGGAGAUAAUCCGCUUGUCAAGGACAAAUCAGGGACACAUAUGGUGAAGCAGAUGCACAAAAUGAGGAAAGAACUGGCUCAAACAAGCAGAAUGUACUGCUCUGUCAUGGACAAAUAAAGACUGGAUUUUCUAAAACUAUAUGAUUGUGAGUAAAAAUAGCACUAAAGUAUGAAUUCAUAACUGUACCAAAUAGGCAUUUUGUUAAUUCUAGUGAA
rnacentral:lncRNA from 1 species